rnacentral:rRNA from 1 species
ACUCCGUACGGGAGGCAGCAGGUAGGGAAUCUUCCACAAUGGGCGCAAGCCUGAUGGAGCAACACCGCGUGAGUGAAGAAGGGUUUCGGCUCGUAAAGCUCUGUUGUUAAAGAAGAACACGUAUGAGAGUAACUGUUCAUACGUUGACGGUAUUUAACCAGAAAGUCACGGCUAACUACGUGCCAGCAGCCGCGGUAAUACGUAGGUGGCAAGCGUUAUCCGGAUUUAUUGGGCGUAAAGAGAGUGCAGGCGGUUUUCUAAGUCUGAUGUGAAAGCCUUCGGCUUAACCGGAGAAGUGCAUCGGAAACUGGAUAACUUGAGCGCAGAAGAGGGUAGUGGAACUCCAUGUGUAGCGGUGGAAUGCGUAGAUAUAUGGAAGAACACCAGUGGCGAAGGCGGCUACCUGGUCUGCAACUGACGCUGAGACUCGAAAGCAUGGGUAGCGAACAGGAUUAGAUACCCUGGUAGGAUAGCG